rnacentral:rRNA from 1 species
UACGGGGGGAGCAAGCGUUGUUCGGAUUUACUGGGCGUAAAGGGCGCGUAGGCGGCCAGCACAAGUCAGUUGUGAAAUCUCCGAGCUUAACUCGGAAAGGUCAACUGAUACUGUGCGGCUAGAGUGCGGAAGGGGCAACUGGAAUUCUUGGUGUAGCGGUGAAAUUCGUAGAUAUUCGCAAGAACACCAGUGGCGAAGACGGCUCACUGGCCCGGUACUGACGCUGAGGUGCGAAAGCGUGGGGAGCAAACAGG